CCGGUAAGUCAGCUCAGAAGUGACGCAGGCGGGGCUGGGCACCUGGAUGGGUGGCAGGAUCCUGGGUGUGGCUGAGCGAGCAGCUGCUGGCCACAGCCACCGGAGGCUCAGGGGCUCACCUGCAGGGAAAGCACUUCCUCUUUAGCCUUCAUUGCAUUAAGGAGAACCCAACCACUAGAUUAGCCUAUGCUCUGUUCAAAACAGAAAGACUGAAAUUUUACCUUUUCCACGGAUCAUGAGAAAACAAA